rnacentral:misc_RNA from 1 species
AAAAAUAAAUAAAUAAAUAAAUACUCUUACAGAAGCCUUACUUGCUUUGGUAGCUAAUACAGAUUUUAUAACUAUGACUAAGCCUGUCCUACAAUGUGGCUGCACUUAUGAAUCUCAGAUGAUUGGGUGUUUAUUACAGUUAUUGUUCCCCUAUGUUAAACAUGGGGAAUACUAGUUUAAAGAAAAAGAAUGCCCAUGGCUGUCUCUGUCCAUCUGGAUAUUGGGUGUUGGUGAGUCAUCCAUGAAAAAGAGCUGUAAUUGUUGACAUGGAGUCUGGUACGUUGGUCAGUUUUCUCAAAAAUUGUUCAAUGAAUCCACUCACAGGAAUUCUGGAGGAUGUCUAUGUAAUGUUAUCAAUGAUAUAACAGAUUUCUCUUUUUACUUUGUCAAUCUUGUCUUUUUAGUACCAUAAAUCUGUAAGUGUAUCUAAUAAAUAAUUAAAACUCUCAUUUCAACUUAUUCUUGUUGUAUUUAUGUUGAACUGUUGUGUCUUUCUUUAAAUUUGAACUUAUGGAAUUGAUAUAUGUAAAUUAAAUGAAAUGCUGAUAGUUUUUAAUAGUAUUUACUAACUAUUUUAAGCAAAGGAUGGAAAGAUUAAGUUUCUAAUGAUCUUUUUCCCUGAGUAAUAAAUAAUAUGGUGCAAAAGGGUCUUAUGUAUUGUUGGUUGGUAUUGGAAGGGAUUUGCCAACUAGAUAACUCCCACAUUUUCCUUUGUGCAUGCACAUGUGUGUUUUUGUGUGUGUCUUAUUAUAAGGUGAAACUUGGGGAUCCAAAGUGAUAUGCCUGGUUGAAUUGCUGCAGUACUUGAUUUGCAUACCAACCCUGUUCCAGAAUACUUGUUAAGAUUCUAGAUCUUGACAAGUGUCUGUUCUUAUCAUGUUAUGCAGCAUAUCCAUGGUUAAUGCCUUUCUAGUUAAUGGAAUGUGUAUUAACAAUUUGUUGUUCUGCAGAUAAUUCCUCCUGGGAUGGAGUUUCAUCACAUUGUUCCCCAAGAAGGGGAUAUGGACGGUGAAGUGGAAGGAAAUGAGGACCAUCCUACUUCUCCUGAUCCACCAAUAUGGUCUGAGGUUCUCAAUUUUCCCUUUUUCUUAUUAUUUUCAUACAUCCCAGACAAUUAGCCGGACACAUUCCUUUCUAAUUCUAUUUUAAUGGAAAAUGACUGCUUUCAAUACCGUGCCCACAAAGCCAGUAAUAACGUUUGCUUAUUUUAUGAAGCAACCAUGUUGACAUCAGUUAAAUUCUUGCUAUUCUGCAGAUAAUGCGCUUCUUUACGAAUCCUCGUAAGCCUAUGAUACUUGCCCUUGCUAGGCCAGAUCCCAAAAAGAACAUCACAACUUUGGUUAAAGCAUUUGGAGAAUGUCGUCCAUUAAGAGAGCUUGCUAACCUUACGCUAAUUAUGGGUAACCGAGAUGGA